GAUGAUUUUGAGUCAACACAGGUAUCAUACAUUUUCAAAUACAGACAUGUAUUUUACAUAUGAGUUUAUGGUUUUUGUAUACAGUAAUUAAAUGAUCACAUAAAUCAGCAUCCCCUUUAAAAUUCCUCUCAACUAGGCAUAGGAAAAGUACAUUACUCUUCAGAAUAACUGUUGUUACUGACACAAUUUCUGAGUCAACAUUUUAAAGGAUUUCAGCUGAAAAAUGGAUAUUAAAAUGCCGUUUAACACAAUCUAUCUACCUGAAAAGUAUGUUGCAGAUUUUUAAAGACUACUGUCAACAAAACUCUUGGACAUAGAGCAAGGUAUUUGACUUGUAGUUCAAUUUAAAUAGUUAAAAAUAAAGACUAAAGUACAAAUAGGUAAAUUAAAGUAGCUUCAUAAAUUAGUGACCCUUCUAACAAAGGCUAAAUACAGUAUUCAACCAGAAAACUGAAGGCUUAAAGCUCAAAAGGUCCUAUUGAAAAAGAUAUUUUAAAAAAAAAUACAUUAAAUGUGUUUUACUAUUAUUUACUUGAACUCAUGAAACUGCGCAUACUACUAUGCAUUUUCAAUUAUGUUAGUUUGUUUUGGAAAGCAAACUGGAUACUCUGGAUAUUGUAAGGGAGAUUUAUUUAAAAUUGUUUUUUGAAGGUGUGGAGUCAAACCUUCAGAGCAAUGAAGAAAGUGAUAAUGGUCAUUUCCAUUAUCACUUUGCAUCUUCCUACUGAGUGGCAGCACCAUGCAGGUAAAUCUGGGAAUUCCAAGAAGACGUUCAACCUCUGCACUCAGAAGAUGGUGUUCUGCUGCUUUUACAACCUGCUACAAAACAUGGCAUCUGCCAAUGCAAAACCACACAUCCUUUCACUAGUUCUGACUGUUUCAACCACUGUUGAGGCACUAUUCAUUGCAUCUUCCUACUGAGUGGCAGCACCAUGCAGGUGAGAUGGCCACCUGAGCACAGUGACAGGAAAAGCUGGUCUGCACCAUGCCCCGCUUUCAUUUGACUCCUGGGCAGUACAUGUCCCUAGUGAAACAGUUUAGAUAUACCCACUGGUGCUGGGCUGCAGAAGGAUCCUUGAGAAGGUCUCAGAUUCCAAAGGUUACCUAAAAUCUAAAGGAACAUUUAAAAUGAAAAACCUGAAUUUUUUUUUUUUUAAAAAAAUCAAUAUUAAGUUGUGAUCCUACUGGAUGCAUUUCGUUGAACAGAUAUUUAAAAUAACUUCUGAGGAGAGUUCUGUCCAGAUUUGUAGCAAAUCACUUAAAAAACAGAAUGAGAAUGGUUUCAAAACUUUUCUGUUAAGGCCAUAAUUUUGUUAUCUUUGUUCAAAUUUAUCAUGAAGUAAUAUAGAUAAUCUUGUGGCCACUCACAUUUACACAUGAUUUUUCUGGUUAGGGGAAUUAAAAAAAAAACUUCCAGAAGAAUUUUAUUAUUGAUAAUUCAGCUUGAGACCACCAACUAAGAGACUGAAAAGAAUUGGUUUGUGAAAAAAAGUGUUGAAACCAUGCAUAAUUAUUACACUUUUUAUAUCUUGAACCUGCUGUUUUCUCACUGUAUAGGUCAUUUAUAAAACACAGUUUUUAUCAGCCUGAGUUAUAUCAUUAUUCCACAAUUUUCCUUCAUAUCAUCAGUUUCAAAUUAUACUAAAUUUGGGCUUUGCUUUUUUUCCACUGCCAAUAAGUUUUUCCUAAAAGAAAUCUCUACAAUUUUUUUGAAGAAUUACUAGUUGGUACAAUAAUACUGGGUAAGUCAAAAAUCGCAUUAAAUUGUGGGUCUUGGUACAGGUGAGAUUAAUAUUAGAAACUGAAUCUCCUAUAUCGCUUCUUUUCUCUGCCUUCUUUUUCAUCUCAAAUUAACAUGAUCAUGAAUUCCACAAAAUGGAUAUUCACAUAAAGAAAUUUUAUGAUGAUUUGACUUGUUGACUCCACAACAAUUAUGUUAAUAUUGUGACGUUGCCAUAUUUUUAAAUAAAAU
rnacentral:lncRNA from 1 species